rnacentral:rRNA from 1 species
AAACGAUUGAAGUCAGUCGUACCGACGAGAAAUCAACUUAUCGUGUGCGAACUUGUGGGCGUGCGUGAGUUUCGGCCUCGCUGUUUGCAUGUUUGUGCGUUUUGGGUGUACUUUUUCGUAUGGUAGGCCAACAUCAGUUUCGAUUACUAUAAAAUGACCGGAGGAAUGUAGCUUCGAUUUCGGUUGAAGUGUUAUAGCCUCUG